UACGUAGGUGGCAAGCGUUGUCCGGAUUUAUUGGGUUUAAAGGGUGCGUAGGCGGCCUGCUAAGCGUGUGGUGAAAGCCCGGGGCUCAACCCCGGGUCGGCCGUGCGAACUGGCGGACUGGAGCUUGUCAGAGGCAGGCGGAAUUCCGGGUGUAGCGGUGGAAUGCGUAGAGAUCCGGAAGAACACCGGUGGCGAAGGCGGCCUGCUGGGACAGUGCUGACGCUGAGGCGCGACAGCGUGGGGAGCAAACAGG
rnacentral:rRNA from 1 species